rnacentral:rRNA from 1 species
AUUGAACGCUGGCGGCAGGCCUAACACAUGCAAGUCGGGCGAGCGGAGGACGGGUGAGUAAUGUAUGGGGAUCUGCCUGAUGGAGGGGGAUAACUACUGGAAACGGUAGCUAAUACCGCAUACCAUCAGAUGAACCCAUAUUGGAUUAUCUUGUAGGCGAGGUAACGGCUCACCUAGGCGCCGAUCCCUAGCUGGUCUGAGAGGAUGAUCAGCCACACUGGGACUGAGGCACGGCCCAGACUCCUGCGGGAGGCAGCAGUGGGGAAUAUUGCACAAUGGGCGAAAGCCGGAUGCAGCCAUGCCGCGUGUAUGAAGAAGGCCUUAGGGUUGUAAAGUACUUUCAGCUGGGAGGCGUUACCCGCAGAAGAAGCACCGGCUAACUCCGUGCCAGCAGCCGCGGUAAUUC